rnacentral:rRNA from 1 species
AUUGAACGCUGGCGGCAGGCCUAACACAUGCAAGUCGAACGAGUGGCGGACGGGUGAGUAAUGUCUGUGAACCUGCCUGAUGGCAGGGGUUAACUACUGGCAACGGUAGCUAAUACCGCAUACCAUCAGAUGUUCCCUGAGGGGAUUAGAUAGUUGGUGGGGUAACGGCUCACCAAGUCGACGAUCCCUAGCGGGUCUGAGAGGAUGACCAGCCACACUGGAACGGAGACACGGUCCAGACUCCUACGGGAGGCAGCAGUGGGGAAUAUUGGACAAUGGGCGCAAGCCUGAUGCAGCCAUGCCGCGUGUAUGAAGAAGGCCGUCGGGUUGUAAAGUACUUUCAGCGGGGAGGCGUUACCCGCAGAAGAAGCACCGGCUAACUCCGUGCCAGCAGCCGCGGUAAUAC